rnacentral:rRNA from 1 species
AGGGGCGAAAGCGGGGGAGCGAACCGGAUUAAUACCCGGGUAGUCCCGGCUGUAAACGAUGCGGGCUAGGUGUUGGGCGGGCUUUGAGCCCGCCCAGUGCCGCAGGGAAGCCGUUAAGCCCGCCGCCUGGGGAGUACGGCCGCAAGGCUGAAACUUAAAGGAAUUGGCGGGGGAGCACCACAAGGGGUGGAGCCUGCGGCUUAAUUGGAGUCAACGCCGGGAAUCUUACCGGGGGCGACAGCAGGAUGACGGCCAGGCUAACGACCUUGCCCGACACGCUGAGAGGAGGUGCAUGGCCGUCGCCAGCUCGUGCCGUGAGGCGUCCGGUUAAGUCCGGCAACGAGCGAGAUCCCCACCCCCAGUUGCUAUCCCGGUCUCCGGAUCGGGAGCACACUGGGGAGACUGCCGCCGAUAAGGCGGAGGAAGGAGGGGGCCACGGCAGGUCAGCAUGCCCCGAAUCCCCCGGGCUGCACGCGGGCUACAAUGGCGGGGACAGCGGGUGCCGACCCCGAAAGGGGGAGGCAAUCCCUGAAACCCCGCUGUGGUUGGGAUCGAGGGCUGAAAUUCGCCCUCGUGAACGUGGAAUCCUAGUAACCGCGCGUCACAUCGCGCGGUGAAUACGUCCUGCUCCUUGCACACACCGCCCGUAA